CAAAAACAGAAAGAGCAAUGUCUCGGCACAGACGCCAAGCCUCUCGAGUGCUCCUACCGGACCUAAGUCUAACAUGGGAAGGAGACAAGCAGCCACCCAAAUCCACCCACUCCUCCGUCCAACCAAUUGCCACUGCCACUCCCUACGGCUCUAAAGCUACAUCCACUGACACCUCUUCAAAUCCAUCCACAACCAUUCUUCAACAUUACUCUUCCGGAGACCAUUCCCUGCAGUCUCCUCAAAACAACCCUUCUACAACCACCAAACCUUCUUGAAAUGAA
rnacentral:lncRNA from 1 species